rnacentral:rRNA from 2 species
CGGAGGAAGAGAAACUAAAAAGGAUUCCCUCAGUAGCGGCGAGCGAAGCGGGAAAAGCUCAACAUGAAAACCGGUAGGGGUACACCCCCCCCUGACCGGGUUGUAGGGUAAAGUGGUGUCGUCAGUGUCGAGUCGGAUAUAAAUCCCGUUUGGAAUGGGGUGUCAUAGAGGGUGAUAACCCCGUCUUUGAUCCGACAUGCCGAUGCGUUACGAUGACCUUACAAAGAGUCGGGUUGCUUGGGCAUGCAGCCCAAAGUGGGUGGUAAACUCCAUCUAAAGCUAAAUAUCAGCGAGAGACCGAUAGUGUACAAGUACCGUAAGGGAAAGAUGCAAAGAACUUUGAAAAGAGAGUCAAACAGGGCUUGAAACCGUUAAGAGAGAAGCGAAGGAGGCCAGUGAUCAUGGGGCCAGAUCCCCAAGUGCCCGUACAGGGGCGCCGUAACGUUCUGGUUUUUCCCGGGGCAGCGCCGACCGGCGGGCUCGUGACAAAGGGGAGGGGGUUGAGGGAUUUAUUUCCCGCCUCUUGCUCCUCUAUGGCUUUGCCUCUGGUCGAGGGCGUUUACACCUUCCACUUUAUUGUGUGAGGGCGCUGUCAAAAUGGCCUUUUCCAUCCCGUCUUGAAACACGGACCAAGGAGUCUAACAUACUCGCAAGUGUUUGGGUGUUUAAAACCUCUGCGCACAAUGAAAGUAAAUCGGUAGCUCUGCGUUACUGUACGGUGGGAACCCUAACGUAUGUAUACAUGGGGGCACCAUCACCCGGUCCCGAUCCCCUCGGGGUGGUUGGUUUCGUGGCAGAGCGAGUAUGCUGGGACCCGAAAGAUGGUGAACUAUUCCUGAAUAGGGCAAAGCCAGAGGAAACUCUGGUGGAGGCUCGUAGCGAUGCUGACGUGCAAAUCGCUCGUCGAAUUUGGGUAUAGGGGCGAAAGACUAAUCGAACCAUCUAGUAGCUGGUUCCCUCCGAAGUUUCCCUCAGGAUAGCGAGAGCAAAUGCAAGUCAGUAUCAUCCGGUAAAGCGAAUGAUUAGAGGCCUCGGGGGAGUAACUCCUUCGACCUAUUCUCAAACUUUAAAUAGGUGAGGCGCCGGUCAAGUUGCUUCGAACAAUGAACGCCGUGCGGACAAUGAUUGCUCUUAGUGGGCCGAUUUUGGUAAGCAGAACUGGCGAUGCGGGAUGAACCGAAAGCGACGCUAAGGUGCCAAACUCCCGGCUCAUUCAGACACCAGAAAAGGUGUUGAUUCAUACAGACAGCAGGACGGUGGCCAUGGAAGUCGGAAUCCGCUAAGGAGUGUGUAACAACUCACCUGCCGAAUGGAUCAGCCCUGAAAAUGGAUGGCGCUUAAGCAGGGGACCGAGGCGUUGCCGUUGGGGCAAAUACGAGGCCCUGAUGAGUAGGAGGGCGUGGGGGUUUUGAAAUACGGUACAUUCGCGUGGAAGCCUUGGGCGUGAGCUCGGGUGGAGCGGCCCCUAGUGUAGAUCUUGGUGGUAGUAGCAAAUAUUCAAGUGGGAACCUUGAAGACUGAAGUGGGGAAGGGUUCCACGCGAACAGUGCUUGGACGUGGGUUAGUCGGUCCUAAGAGAUGGGGAAACUCUGUAGCCAAGUGCGCUCUUAUUUUUUCGCAGCGCAGUCCAUCAAAAGGGAAGCGGGUUAACAUUCUCGCACCGGGAUGUGGAAACUGUGGUUACCGCAAACUGCGGCAACGCAAAUGAACUUGGGGACGCCCGUAGGAGCUCCGAACAGGGAUCUCUUUCCUGUUUAACGCGCUCAACCCCCUGGAAUCGGUUUGUCCGGAGAUAGGGGGCGGAAGGCCGGAAAAGCACCGCACGUCUUGUGGUGUUCGGAACGCUCGUAAUGGCCCUUGAAAACCCAGGGGAAAGCAGCCGUCCACGCGCCUCUUCUGGAUGCGGGACGAGUAAUUCUCACACCUGGCCGUACCCAUAACCGCAUCAGGUCCCCAAGGUGAACAGCCUCUAGUCAAUAGAAUAAUGCAGGAAAAAAUAGAUAAGGGAAGUCGGCAAAAUAGAUCCGUAACUUUGGGAAAAGGAUUGGCUCUAAUGUUCGGGCCUGUUGGGACGCGCGGGCCUAGACGCCAGCGAGCGGCAGAAGGCUACCCCUUUUUCCGGGAUGGCUGGAAGCUGCUUGUUGGAAGAAACCGUGUCGAAUAGAGGCUAGCUGGGUGGCGCCCCCCUUUGCUUUCGGGGAGGGGGGGGCCCGCCUGCUGUGCUUCUUCCCGCUUGCGAUCAACGAACGGAUUAGAACUGGUACGGACAAGGGGAAUCCGACUGUUUAAUUAAAACAAAGCAUUGCGACGCCCGCAAACGGUGUUAACGCAAUGUGAUUUCUGCCCAGUGCUCUGAAUGUCAAAGCGAAGAAAUUCAACCAAGCGCGGGUAAACGGCGGGAGUAACUAUGACUCUCUUUUCCUGUGUACGCGCGCGCGCCCCGCUGCGCUACUUUUUGAGAGAGAUAGGCGGGCUGAAAAAGGUUAAGCCGUCUAGUUCCUCUUUCCCUAGGGAGAGAGGGGCAACACACCUGGUUGCGGGGACCCUGCCCGCCUUUUUCCAAGAAAAAGGCGGGAACCAGCCCAUUCCUACCCCUGCUUGUGAGGCAUAUAGUAAGUAGCAGCAGGGGGAUCUCGGCGAGAGGCCGAACCCGGAAAAAGGAACAACGUGGGCUGGGAGGCAACCUGCAGGCGAGUCCGUAACUAUAUGAUUAUCGACGGGCCGUCUCAACGACUGGUAAGGUGUGGGUUUGCUUUGACAAAAAAGCGGGCUUAAGGUACAGUCUAAUCCCACCCGCCAAGGGUGCUUGGGUGUAAUCCCCGUAUGCAAAAAGGGGGGGAACUAGCCCAGGGGCUGGGACGAUGGGAGGAAAUGCCCCGUCCCUAUAGUCGGUAGAAAUGAAGGUAGCCAAAUGCCUCGUCAUCUAGACACUACUUGGAUGAGAUAGUCUGAGUGAAAAGCUUAUGCAGGCUAGUACACAAAGCAGCUUUUUCUGCUUGCGUGCGACACUCCUUGUACAGGGAAGCCCUCCACUGAAAGGCACGUGGUACCACCCUCUGCGGGGAAACUCGCGGGCGGGGAUCCCGGGUAAUGACCGGAGCCGAUGGUAAAAACCCACGUGACCUAUGGGGUGACCCUGUGGCGAGAGGCUACGUCGUAAAAAAAAAAAAAACACUUGCGAUAUGCCUCCGUCGCAGAGACUGAACGGGAGUGGGCUGAGGUUCUCCCGUAGUGGAGAAUUUUUGGCUUGAGAUACAGUCCGAGCCUCAGGGAUGGAAAAAAAACCUGUGGAACAGCUCGAAUUAGUGACGCGCAUGAAUGGAUUAACGAGAUUCCCACUGUCCCUAUCUACUAUCUAGCGAAACCACAGCCAAGGGAACGGGCUUGGAAGAAUCAGCGGGGAAAGAAGACCCUGUUGAGCUUGACUCUAGUCCGACUUUGUGAGAUGAGUUGGGAGGUGUAGUCUAAGAGGGAGGGGCAACUCGACCGUGAAAUACCUCUACUCCCAAACUUGUUUUACUUACUCCGUCAGUCAGGAAUGGGCUUAAACACCCUUUUUCUAGGAUUAACAUCCCUAACGGUGGACCUGCGCGGAGGACAUUGUCAGGUGGGGAGUUUGGCUGGGGCGGCACAUCUGUUAAAAGAUAACGCAGGUGUCCUAAGAUAAGCUCAAUGAGAACAGAAAUCUCACGUAGAACAAAAGGGUAAAAGCUUAUUUGAUUUUGGUUUUCAGUAUGAAUACAAACUGUGAAAGCAUGGCCUAUCGAUCCUUUUUAACUUCAGAGUUUGAAGCAAGAGGUGUCAGAAAAGUUACGCACACACACACGCACUGUGGUAGCUUUUGAGAGUGGACUCAAAGUGUUCCGCUAGUCUCCUCCCUUUGUGGAAAAAACGAUGGGGGGGGGGGGCGACACUGUCAAAUUGCGGGGACACCCUAAAGCCUGUCUCUACCAAGCCAGGAGGCGAAAGCCCUUGGUGGCCGGGGUAAUGACCUAGGGUAAGGUAAAAACGGGACAGGAUAUACGCGCGCGUGCGCGCAUAGGAUGGGCAAUCCGCAGCCAAGUCCUACGGCUCUGUUUCUCGGGGAGAAAAAAAAAAACAUUUUUCCCGGCGACGCCAUGAGCUAUGGAUGCAGUUCAACGACUAGACGGCAGUGGGCUGGAUGUAUCUAUCGGUACAUCCCGGCUUGAGAUAUAGUCUUGCCCACGCGAAAGCGUGCCUGCAGAAAAACGCCAUCAUGCAUGGCCAGAGCUGCAGGAGGCCUUUUUCUUGUCCAUACAAAAAAGGCUGGGAUUCGACAGUACCACAGGGAUGAAGCACACUCUCAAGCCACAACGAAGCAUGUACACUUCGUUUACGUAUGUCCCAGGUGAGAUGAAUCCUAGCUUCUCAUCUAGUCCGGCCAGUGUCAAUUCAAAGAAGAAAAGGUGCCAAGGACACUGGACAAGUGUGGCGUACACACUGUAGGGCAACACAUCUGGAUGCGGGGACCUCCCGUUAGGGCUCAAGUACCAGACGACGAUUGGUAACACCUCGUCGUGAAGACAUCUAGGAAGUCGGGUUAAAAUCUUGAAGUCUAGGGACAAUCCGCAGCUGACUUGGCUCCCUGCCUCGGGAAAAAGACCAACCUCCCGGUGGCCAUAGCUAAGCGGUUCAACGCUCGGUAAGAUGUGGGUCUAAAUGGAAAAAAACGGUCGUUUUUUCUUCUAUUUGGGCUUAAGGUACGGGCUACUCCCACCCGAGAGGGUGUCUCUGUCUACCUAGAGGAAACUAUAUACAAAAAAAACGCAAACGGCAGCACCCCUCUGGAGAAGCAGAGAGGUCACCCACACUCGCCCUUGUGUAUGUGUGUGUGGCUGGUAUAAAGGAACUGGCUUGUGGCAGCCAAGCGUUCAUAGCGACGUUGCUUUUUGAUCCUUCGAUGUCGGCUCUUCC